GUCGUCACACACAUUCAAACAGAUACAGGAGGCAGAUAGACAAUCGACAGGUUUGCCUAAAAAGGCACACCGGAUGAGUUAGUUACCUGUCUCUAGUAGCCUUCUGGAAGCCGGAAGUGGACUCGGAGACAGACCGACACAAAACAGGAGAAUAACACAGGCAACGGCUGUAUUAUGGAGGUAAUCAGGCUCCGCUCGUCCCACUUUCCGGAGGUCCGCUCCGGUCCGUUGGUUUCCGGCUGGACAAGAGAUGUGGGAAGAAACCCUACAGGGUGUCCAGUGUUGGCGGGGUGAGCGUCUCCCCAGCAAGGAGCAGCGACUACAAGCCCG